ACGAGUGGCGGACGGGUGAGUAACACGUGGGUAACCUGCCCUUAAGUGGGGGAUAACAUUUGGAAACAGAUGCUAAUACCGCAUAAAUCCAAGAACCGCAUGGUUCUUGGCUGAAAGAUGGCGUAAGCUAUCGCUUUUGGAUGGACCCGCGGCGUAUUAGCUAGUUGGUGAGGUAACGGCUCACCAAGGCAAUGAUACGUAGCCGAACUGAGAGGUUGAUCGGCCACAUUGGGACUGAGACACGGCCCAAACUCCUACGGGAGGCAGCAGUAGGGAAUCUUCCACAAUGGACGCAAGUCUGAUGGAGCAACGCCGCGCUGAGUGAAGAAGGCUUUCGGGUCGUAAAACUCUGUUGUUGGAGAAGAAUGGUCGGCAGAGUAACUGUUGUCGGCGUGACGGUAUCCAACCAGAAAGCCACGGCUAACUACGUGCCAGCAGCCGCGGUAAUACGUAGGUGGCAAGCGUUAUCCGGAUUUAUUGGGCGUAAAGCGAGCGCAGGCGGUUUUUUAAGUCUGAUGUGAAAGCCCUCGGCUUAACCGAGGAAGUGCAUCGGAAACUGGGAAACUUGAGUGCAGAAGAGGACAGUGGAACUCCAUGUGUAGCGGUGAAAUGCGUAGAUAUAUGGAAGAACACCAGUGGCGAAGGCGGCUGUCUGGUCUGUAACUGACGCUGAGGCUCGAAAGCAUGGGUAGCGAACAGGAUUAGAUACCCUGGUAGUCCAUGCCGUAAACGAUGAAUGCUAGGUGUUGGAGGGUUUCCGCCCUUCAGUGCCGCAGCUAACGCAUUAAGCAUUCCGCCUGGGGAGUACGACCGCAAGGUUGAAACUCAAAGGAAUUGACGGGGGCCCGCACAAGCGGUGGAGCAUGUGGUUUAAUUCGAAGCAACGCGAAGAACCUUACCAGGUCUUGACAUCUUUUGAUCACCUGAGAGAUCAGGUUUCCCCUUCGGGGGCAAAAUGACAGGUGGUGCAUGGUUGUCGUCAGCUCGUGUCGUGAGAUGUUGGGUUAAGUCCCGCAACGAGCGCAACCCUUAUGACUAGUUGCCAGCAUUUAGUUGGGCACUCUAGUAAGACUGCCGGUGACAAACCGGAGGAAGGUGGGGAUGACGUCAAAUCAUCAUGCCCCUUAUGACCUGGGCUACACACGUGCUACAAUGGAUGGUACAACGAGUUGCGAGACCGCGAGGUCAAGCUAAUCUCUUAAAGCCAUUCUCAGUUCGGACUGUAGGCUGCAACUCGCCUACACGAAGUCGGAAUCGCUAGUAAUCGCGGAUCAGCACGCCGCGGUGAAUACGUUCCCGGGCCUUGUACACACCGCCCGUCACACCAUGAGAGUUUGUAACACCCGAAGCCGGUGG
rnacentral:rRNA from 1 species